UACGAAGGGUGCAAGCGUUACUCGGAAUUACUGGGCGUAAAGCGUGCGUAGGUGGUUUGUUAAGUCUGAUGUGAAAGCCCUGGGCUCAACCUGGGAAUUGCAUUGGAUACUGGCAGGCUAGAGUGCGGUAGAGGAUGGCGGAAUUCCCGGUGUAGCAGUGAAAUGCGUAGAGAUCGGGAGGAACAUCUGUGGCGAAGGCGGCCAUCUGGACCAGCACUGACGCUGAGGCACGAAAGCGUGGGGAGCAAACAGG
rnacentral:rRNA from 1 species